rnacentral:tRNA from 1 species
UCCCUCGUGGCCCAAUUGGCAGAGGCGCCGGCCCUAGGAACCGGUAGUUGCGAGUUCGAAUCUCGCCGAGGGAA